rnacentral:rRNA from 1 species
UACGUAGGGUGCGAGCGUUGUCCGGAAUUACUGGGCGUAAAGAGCUUGUAGGUGGUUUGUCGCGUUGUUCGUGAAAUCUCACGGCUUAACUGUGAGCGUGCGGGCGAUACGGGCAGACUAGAGUACUGCAGGGGAGACUGGAAUUCCUGGUGUAGCGGUGGAAUGCGCAGAUAUCAGGAGGAACACCAAUAGCGAAGGCAGCUCGCUGGGACGUUACUGACACUGAGGCGCGAAAGCGUGGGGAGCGAACAGG